rnacentral:misc_RNA from 1 species
UGGCUAGAAAGCUUUGUUGAUUUACCGGUGAUGAAAGGAUAUUUGUGCCAAGGUAGCUUAUAGAGUAUGGUGGAUCCGGAAACACAGGGACAAGAAGUUUCUCGUUGUCCAGAGAAGGUGCAAAGGAGCGCAAGGAUGGGACGCGUGGAAGGACACGUGCAGCGUACUGGAGGAUUCUACAACCAGUUGAAGUAGAAAGCGGAAACCAUUCUCAAUUCUUCUCUUAU